rnacentral:rRNA from 1 species
UACGUAGGGGGCUAGCGUUGUCCGGAUUUAUUGGGCGUAAAGAGCUCGUAGGCGGUUUGUCGCGUCUGCUGUGAAAGACCGGGGCUCAACUCCGGUUCUGCAGUGAGUACGGGCAGACUAGAGUGCAGUAGGGGGAGGCUGGAAUUCCUGGUGUAGCGGUGGAAUGCGCAGAUAUCAGGAGGAACACCGGUGGCGAAGGCGGGUCUCUGGGGCAGUAACUGACGCUGAGGAAACGAAAGCGUGGGGUAGCGAACAGGA